rnacentral:rRNA from 1 species
GGAAUAUUGCGCAAUGGGGGAAACCCUGACGCAGCAACGACGCGUGAGUGAGGAAGGUCUUAGGAUUGUAAAACUCUUUUGCUAGGGAAAAAUGACUCAGAGGUUAAUACCCUUUGAGAGUGAUGGUACCUAAAGAAUAAGGACCGGCUAACUUCGUGCCACAAGCCGCGGUAAUACGAAGGGUCCAAGCGUUGUUCGGAAUCAUUGGGCGUAAAGCGCGCGCAGGCGGAUCAGAAAGUCAGAUGUGAAAUCUCGAAGCUCAACUUCGAAACUGCGUCUGAAACUUCUAGUCUAGAGUGUCGGAGGGGGUAGGGGAAUUUCACGUGUAGGGGUAAAAUCCGUAGAGAUGUGAAGGAACACCGGGGGCGAAGGCGCCUACCUGGACGACUACUGACGCUGAGGCGCGAAAGCGUGGGGAGCAAAC